rnacentral:rRNA from 1 species
GAUGAACGCUGGCGGCGUGCCUAAUACAUGCAAGUCGAGCGAACGGACGAGAAUCUUUCUUCGCUUAUGUUAGCGGCGGACGGGUGAGUAACACGUGUAUAACCUACCUAUAAGGCUGGGAUAAGUUCGGGAAACCUGAUCUAAUAUCGGAUAAUAUGUUGAACGGCAUGGUUCAUAAGUGAAAGAGGGUCUUGCUGUCACUUAUAGAUGGAUCCAGGCUGCAUUAGCUAGUUGGUAAGGUAACGGCUUACCAAGGCAACGAUGCAUAGCCGACCUGAGAGGAUGAUCAGCCACACUGGAACUGAGACACGGUCCAGACUCCUACGGGAGGCAGCAGUAGGGAAUCUUGCGCAAUGGGCGAAAGCCUGAUGGAGCCACGCCGCGUGAGUGAUGAAGGUCUUCGGAUCGUAAAACUCUGUUAUUAGGGAAGAAGAUAAGUGUAAGAAACCGCGGACAUCUUGACGGUACCUACUCAGAAAGCACCGGCUAACUACGUG